rnacentral:rRNA from 1 species
AUUGAACGCUGGCGGCAUGCUUUACACAUGCACGUCGGACGAGUGGCGAACGGGUGAGUCAUAUAUCUGAACGUACCGCGUAAUGGGGGAUAACUAAUCGAAAGCUUAGCUAAUACCGCCUCUUAUUCGAGCGGCCGAUAUCUGAUUAGCUAGUUGGUGGGGUAAAGGCCUACCAGGGCGACGAUCAGUAGCGGGUCUGAGAGGAUGAUCUGCCAGACUGGGACUGAGACACGGCCCAGACUCCUACGGGAGGCAGCAGGGGGGAAGUGGGGACAAUGGGCGCAAGCCUGAGCCAGCCAUGCCGCGUGGCUGAAGAAGGCCUUCGGGUUGUAAAGGACUGUUGUCAGGGAAGCGGUACCUGAAGAAUAAGCACCGGCUAACUACGUGCCAGCCGCCGCGGUAAUAC